rnacentral:rRNA from 1 species
UACAGAGACUGCAAGCGUUAUUCGGAUUCACUGGGCGUAAAGGGUGCGCAGGCGGCCAAGUGUGUCAGGUGUGAAAUCCCGAGCUUAACCUCGGAACUGCGCCUGAAACUACUUGGCUAGAGUACUGGAGAGGGUAACGGAAUUCACGGUGGUAGCAGUGAAAUGCGUAGAUAUCGGGAGGAACACCAGUGGCGAAGGCGGCAUCGUGGCCCAUGUCCUGACGCUCAGGGGCGAAAGGCGUGGGGAGGCAAACCGG